AUAAUGAUACUCCUGUCCAGCCACAGUCCGAGCGUGAUAAAACCGUCGCAGGCAAUGGGGGCAGCUCGGAUGAACUCGGAGGGGUGAGAUUCCCGUG
rnacentral:ncRNA from 1 species